rnacentral:rRNA from 1 species
CGGGCAGGUGGUCUGUUAAGUCGUUUGUGAAAACCCGGGGCUCAACCCCGCGGAAUGCAGACGAUACUGGCAGACUGGAGAUCGGUAGAGGCUAGCGGAAUUCCAGGUGUAGCGGUGGAAUGCGUAGAUAUCUGGAAGAACACCUGUGGCGAAGGCGGCUAGCUGGGCCGAGUCUGACACUCAUCCGCGAAAGCGUGGGGAGCAAACA